CAGAUCCUACGGGAGGCAGCAGUGGGGAAUAUUGCACAAUGGGGGAAACCCUGAUGCAGCAACGCCGCGUGAAGGAAGACGGUUUUCGGAUUGUAAACUUCUAUCAACAGGGACGAAAGAAAUGACGGUACCUGAAUAAGAAGCCCCGGCUAACUACGUGCCAGCAGCCGCGGUAAUACGUAGGGGGCAAGCGUUAUCCGGAAUUACUGGGUGUAAAGGGUGAGUAGGCGGCAUGGUAAGCCAGAUGUGAAAGCCUUGGGCUUAACCCGAGGAUUGCAUUUAGAACUAUCAAGCUAGAGUACAGG
rnacentral:rRNA from 1 species